UUUUUUGGUAGGAGAAGCCGGGUCAUGGUUCCCGUGGAUAUUUCCCAUGGUUCGGAUUUGGCCGGUUGCACCUGCAUGGUAACAUUUGGCAGGUCCCCCGUCCCAGGAUGCCAGAUGUCUGUGCCGCCCUGGGCCUCCUGGUGCGGGCCUGCCUUGUUUCAGCGUAGCUUAAAUGACAAAAGUUGUGGCCCCAUGUUGAAACAGGGAGGACUAACUCCUGGGAACCCUUCACCAGGGACAGAUACAUUCCCCAGCUUCCCCACCUUCUGUGGGCCCUGUUCUAGAUGGUUCUUCAGAAGGUCCCCAGCUGGACUGAGCCCAGUCACCCAGGGGUAACCAUCCCUGAUUGGUCUUGUUAUUAAUGUAUUAAUAAAGGGUGAGCAACUGCUUUGUUUUCUGUUCCCCCAGGUUUCACUUUCCUCCUUCCCUCACUUCUUCCGGGGACCGUCUCCCAAGUGAAACCCUCUGCCCCAAACCCUCAUCUUAAGCCCUUCCUCUGGUGACUCUAGAGGGUUGGCCAGAUUUAGGUUCCUUUUCUUUUUCUCUUUUUGGUAGUUUGGCGUCUCAGGUGCUGCAGUGUGCUUUCUGUUGUCCCUUACUGCCCCGGCAGCGUGUCCGAUGGGGUCCUGCUAGUAUUUGUGCCUUAGAAUAUCAGGGAUCCAGCGGGAAGCUUCCAGAGCCUUCCUCUGAUCUUACCUUGCAACCAUUCUGGACGGACUCCCCCUGCAUUUAUAGCUAAGCUCUUCCACUGCUGAUAGAUGUUUUCUGCCUUUAGGUAGCACGCUUUCCGUUCAACAGGAGGUGACGUGUCUGGCCCCCCUCAUGUGUCUCUCAAAGCAGCAGCAUUUAGUUCCCCUCCCCUCCAUAGAGCCUUCGUGCAUGAGUCAUUUCUGCUGGGGGUCUGUGUGUUUUCAAGUCCUCGUGGACGGAACACUUGGUAUCACAAAAAUAGAAGCUCAUCCAAGGUGUGUUUUGCUCAGCUGGCUGGCUGUUAACCAAUUCAUGGGAGGCUUAGCACCUUGUAAUGGAAAAGCAGAGGGGGGACUACGGUGGCUGGGCGAGGGCAUGAGUGUGGGCGUGUGAGUGCGUGUAUGUGUGCGUGCGUGUGCAUGUGCACACAAGACCUCUUUCCCCUUGGGUGGUACAGAUCACUCCCUACUUAGAAUAGUUUUUCCUUCUGAAAAGCCUUCCCCCUUCUUAUUCCACUCAUUAGCCCCAAGUAUCCACCCCCUCCCUGUGCAAAAUGCCUGAAAUGGAACACGGUAAGGUAGAAGGUAGCUCCAUAGUGAGGAUAGCAUGGGAUUUUGAGUUAGACGAUCUGAUGGUUCACUGUGUGACCCUGGGCAGUCGCUGAACCACUACGGGCUUGAUUUUUCUUCCCUUUAAGUUGGGUAUAAUAAAACUAUGUGUUAGAACACUUUAACUUAAUAAAUGAAAUGAGAGUGCAUUAUGAAAAAAAGAAUACUGUCAAUAGUAAAAGCUUGUAUGAACAAACGGGGAUAUUUUCCUGUCUCAGUGGGGAUAGAUUUUCAAUAUUUCCUCGGACAGGUUUUGAUAGGAAUAAAGGAAGGAGAUCAAACCAGACAGGGUGCUUAGUUGCGAACAACAGGAGCAAACUCAGCCUAAGCGAAGGAGACAAGACACUUUUCAACAGUCUAUCGAGAGGUUUUCAGACCUGACAGGUGAGUUUGAGGAUCAGGAAGGAGCAGCUCUGGGCAAUGACCACAGUCAUGGCCAAGACCGUGCUAUGGACUUGGGACACUGGCAUGGCCACUUGUGAGCUCGGGACGGUGCAGCUUGCUCUGGAAUGAAAGGUUUGUGUCCUGGGGCAGUUGGUACCUCUUGCUACCAGAUGGUUCUCUGUGGGCCCUGUUCCUUUGGCAGCAUCUGGGUGGGCCGCUUAGGGGCCCAGUCACUGUCUGUGCCCCCUUGUGGGAAGCUGGGUCUGUGGGCCACUGGUGUCUCCAUGUCCAUGGUGGGAAACACUGAGGGAGGAGAUUCCCAGAUCAAUAAGCAGGAGCACCAGUGGGAUGAGGUGGGAGGCUGAUGGAGGCCAAAAUAAACACUGAUGCUGUCAUACUAUUGAUUAUUGAUUAUUGACCAAGACUUCCUGACAGAUACUUGUCAAGGAACGACAGUGGCUGAGUAUCAUGGCGGCCAGAUAAUAGACAGGACAUAGGUCAUUUCUUUUUUCUUUUUUUUUGACAGAGAGAGAGAGAUAGCAAGAGAGGGAACACAAGCAGGGGGAGGGCCAGAUGGAGAGACAAAAGCAGGCUCCCCAUUGAGCAGGGAGCCGACUCAGGACUCCAUGCCAGGACCCCGGGAUCAUGACCUGAACCAAAGGCAGAUGCUUAACAACUGAGCCACCCAGGUGCCCUGACAUAGAUCAUUUCUGCUCUAAAACAGAAAUCAUGUAAACAAUGGAAUGCCACAGAGUGAAGUCAUUUGUAGCCAUUACUAACAGUUCUGAUGAAAAUGUGGGAAGAUGCUUUUCAUAUAUGCUAAUGAAAAGCAAAGGAGCAGGCUAACUUGUAUCCGUGCUUGAUUAGAAGUGUUUAAGAGAAUUGUGUGUAUGGGAACUAAUGUGCAAAAUAGAAAAGAAUUAUUUGGGGUUGGGAUUAUAGGUGAUUUUUAUUUAUAAACACUUUUUCCUGAAAGGAACUUAAGAAAUGCAGCAAGGAUUCUGAGAUACAUACUUACAGGCAAAACAAGAACUCCUCGGGGAAUGAUGUUACAGUACCCAAACCUGACCAGCAUCCCCGUGUGCUACACCAAGAAGGAUCCAGUUGCAAAGUGGAGGAAACAAAUGCAGGUCAGAGGUGCUGGUAAUGUGGACACCUGCCUCUCUCUCUCUCUCUGUCUCUGUCUCUCCCUUCAGAAAAGUUGAUUCCCAAGACUCUAGCAAGUGGCCCAUUGCUAAACCCUGUGCAAUGUUUCUUUGCUGCUAGGACUCCUUCACCCUUCUUCUGCCAGAUUUUACAAUGCGAGUCUCCUCAUCCAGCGCCCCAUCCCUGAUCAUAUUUGUGUGAAUUGUCCUCACGGGAGGAGAACGCUGCGCUCUUGGCUGGAAAAAGGCUUAUUUCUAAUUUGUCCACUUCUGUUUCUCUUGAGACCAUGAUCCAGCACUCAUCCUGCCUCUGAACCCACCAGCCAACAGACCUGACUUCCGCAGGAGAAAAAGAGAUGCUGUCUUCUUGACAUAAGAACUUCAAAAUAACACGGGCUGUGAAGUGCUGAGCUGCCCCCAGCUUAUGGCCUUGUUUCUUUGACAGACGAGGCAUUGCAAUACGUACAGUUGGCCCUCUAGGCGGUAAUCUGAUUAUUGCCAAGUGCUAGUCGCUGUUGGGAAUUUGUCACAUGGAAGCCCACUUCAUAUAGGCUGGACAGGCAGAGGCUUCAAUUAACAGUGGCUUUUGUAGAAACAACUACACGCACAGGAUCACUAAAGUCAAGGUCACGGGGUUUGCUAGAUACAGUCAGAGGGCAUUUUCAAGAGGUGGCCCUCCGUCUUCUACUGGCUGUAUGUAAGCUCUCUGACUCUGUCUUGAAGUUCUAGUCAGCCCCAUAGCGGCCACGUCUCCUGUUUCAUCCAUGACUUGAGAGGUGGAAAAUGUAACUCGGUAUCACUCACUUAGACGUGCAGAGAAAAGUUUGGUCUACCUGGACUCCUUCUGUUUGCCAAAGUCUGAAGCUAAUGGAACUUGCUACCUGGCUUCCGCCUACUUGGCAUGGGUUUGGCCGGGCACCGUGACUGCAGAUCCCUGAGUGUUUGCCCUGUUUGGCACCCUGCCAUGCCUGGCUUCCCUCCCCAAGUUCUGCCACGGUUCUUGUCCUCCUGUCCCGACAACCUCCUUAGGCAUCCAGGAAAUAGUUGCUGAACAGACCUUAGAAGCUGCCUCCCCGGGAAAAGGAACUUGCUGAAGUCCCGAAACAGCAGUAGCAAUGGACAAUUUGGUCUGGAGGGACUAAUGGGUCACUGUGGAGAGGAUAUCGUAGGUGAUCCAGGCCUGAGAUGGCCAUAUUGCAAAGCCCUAGAGAGGAGGGACUAGAACGGGGACGGUGCUGAACCCUGACCGUUCCCACUAACGGACCGCGCAACAAGGGAACACAAGAAGAAGCCAUGGAUGAGGGAGGUCUUCCAUUCAGCUCUAGAACUUGUCUUCCUGCGUAAAGAAAGGCAGUCUACAAAACAUCCCCCAGGCCCUGCUGCUGUGACCGACAUAUAGAGAGGAAGGUUUUCAGAAUUGUUCCCCCUGGAAGAAAGUGCCCGGAGAGAACAGCCAUCCCCACGGCAGCUUCGGAUCCACACACAGAUCCCGCAGGACAAAGGGAAACAUCCAGGCAGGAGGACGGCGGGUAAAGCCCUGGCCACUGAGAGGGGACUUGGCAGACAGAAAGAAGGAGACCUCUCUGUAGAGUUCAUGGACACCAACAGAUCCUGUUUCGUCAUGGUUUUUUGGGGCUGGAAUGGAUCAAACACCAAGACGGUGAUGAGAAAAACUGACCUGGGCUGGAACUGGGAGACGGCACCCAAUGCCCCCCACUGGGGGUUUAAGCAACACCCACUGGGGUGAUCCUGGCUAGUCAUGCCAGACUCCCUCUGCGGUCAUACUUUUAUUCUGCUUGUGUGUUUAUAUGUACCUUUAUAUCUGGAGCCACCUCUAAAUUAAAUUGAAUUUUUUCACAUUAAUACACUCAUAAUUUUUAAAAUCUUUUUUAAAGUAUUUGUAUUUUAUGUACAAUGAAUCAGCAUGAAGGCAGGGACCCUGGAUGACCCCAUUCAAGAAAAUUCGUUUAAUCCAACCUAACGCAGCCUGUGUCCGCUGCGUCCUGAUGGAAAUACCAGUGGCACCUUUUGUGGCCUCGUUACUGGCUCAGACUGAGCUGGUUAGAGCAGACUCGGCAAGAACAAGAACCCUGGCCAGAUUUCCCUGGAUGGCGCCCCAGUAGAGCCUCCGGGGACCCAUCUUGUCGUCUCAGACACAACGAGGCAAAAGGCGUGACCUUGCCAUUCUCUGUGGAUGUUCCUGCGUCUGAGUAAUUAGAAACACACAUGCGUAAAGAGACGCACCUGACCUGUCCACUCUAGAGCGUGGGGAUGAUUUUCUGCAGCUACCCUCUUCGCUCUCAAGGUACAAAGUACGAGACCCUCUGUAGGAAUUGAUUGGGAAAAUACAUGUCGUGGCCACUGCGUCCCUCUCUGGAGGGGAGCCUGGGAAGGGCAAAGUCUGUUGGGAUGGUCUCUGUCAUGUCCUUGCUCAUGCCUGGCCUGCGUUUGCUUUCCUUGGGCUGGGGCCAGACCCUAUUGGAGGAUUUGGUUUGCUGACUGGCAGGUCCUUCUCGGGGGCUGUCUGGAGACCCCGAGGCUUGGGUAGAGGAGCUGAGGCAGUGCCUGGCGGGACUGCGUCCAGGUUCUGGUGACUUGAGCCUGAGGACGAGACAGCCACCUGGAGACGGCUCUCGGCUUACAAUGUGUAGAUUUGAAACCACAGUCAGCAAGUUUACACUCUGCUGCCUUCGACUCUCUCAGCUUUGUUUCCUUGAAUGAAGAGUAGAUAUUUACUCUACUUACAAAGUAAACCGUUUUAGGCAGCGGACGACUGACAGAACAUUCCCGACUCUUGGGAUGGCCCGGAAGACUCUUCAGUUGCAUGAUCUUAUUUUCCAGAAGGAACCAUGAGCCCCUCCUCAUGCCUCGGAGCCUCCUCUGCCCAAGUUUUCUGGACUUCUGGCGUUUGCUGCACCUGCUGUGGGCAACGCCCCCUCCCACAGGCAGCUCCCCCGCCCCAGCCUCAGCCUGGCUCCUACUUCAGCUUCCCGGCCCUGACCUGGGAUUUCUGGCUCUUCCUGACAAUGUGUCUCAAAGCCCUCUGGUCAGCACAGAGAUGUAC